rnacentral:rRNA from 1 species
AUGUUGUACUGCUGUUCUAUACUAGUUUCCAAUGUUAGUCUGCUUCUUCAGCUCUAUUCAGUUGUUCUACUUGCUGCUUGUAGCUGUUACCAGUUUACCUGCUGGCCGGGACUGGGUCCAAUCUGUUGUAGAGUUGGACAUGGCUGUGUUUUUCAGUUUGUGCCCCUGUACUGGGGAAUUCCUGUCAAUUGUCGACUGUUGCCCUCGGUUUUCUUUAUGGAGUACAACAUACUAAAUUGGAAUGUGCGCGGUCUCCACAACCCUGCUGAGCACCAAUGCAACAUCAUUUGUCUUCAGGAAGUAAAAAUGCAGACCAUCUCAGCAGCUUUCAUUGCCGAAACACUGGGGGCCCGUUUCUGUGACAACUUUAUUUACAAACCAGCUAAUGGCUCUAGAGGGGGAAUCCUGAUUGCCUGCUCCACUGGCAUUGCAAUCACUCAUGACCCCCUUGCUGAUGGGCCUAACUCCAUUACUGGGCAGAUUAUGGACAGGAGCAACAAUGACAGAUGGACCAUCUCAGCUGUGUACGGACCCCAAGAUGAUGCGGCCAAGGUCCUUUUCAUUGAUGAACUCAAGGGACUCAAGCAGUUUGCUCUACCAUGCUGGAUGGUCCUUGGAGAUUUUAACCUGAUCAAGAAAGCCAAGGACAAAAAUAAUGGGAACAUAAACCUGCAGAUCAUGGGAAGGUUCAAGAGUGUUGUUGAUGAGCUGGAGCUAAUUGAUUACCCUCUCCUGGGCAGAAAAUUCACUUGGUCUAAUGAGUGUGACAUUGUCACCCUGACUAAGAUCGACAGGAUCUUGGUCUCCAAAGAUUGGGACCUUAAAUUCCCAAAUUACCAGCUCACCCCUGCAUCCUCUUCAAUCUCUGAUCAUUGCCCCCUGCUACUAAAGCCAAUGCAUCAGCGCCACUUCAAAGGGUUCCGAUUUGAAUCCUAUUGGCUGAAAAAAGACGAUUUUGUGGAUACUGUUAAUAAGGCUUGGGCGAAGCCAGUUGUUUCAUCUGACGCAAUUAGGGUCCUUCAUACAAGACUGUCAAGAACUGCAAGGGCUCUGAAGAAGUGGGAUAGAAUGGAGACCAAGAGAGCAAGGGCUCUCUACAAUGUGUCCACUGAGCUGAUUUUCCUUUUAGACCUGGCACAAGAGGAGAGGCAGUUAACUGAUGAAGAAAACACUCUUAGAAAGAUACUAAAGCUAAAGCUUCUGGGGUUUGUUGCUGUGGAAAGAAUGCGGUGGCGCCAGCGCUCACGGUUAACAAGGAUCCGUGUUGAAAAUGCCAAUACUAAGCUCUUUCAUCUACGGGCAAAUGGGAGGAGGAGGAAGAAUCACAUACCUACCCUUCAGGGGCCUUCCGGCAUGGUCCACGAGCACACUAAGAAGGCCAAAAUUCUGCUUGAUCACUUCAAGUCGCUAAUGGGGAAGGCACAACAUCGCAGCCACGCAAUAAAAUGGAACUUUUUGGAAAUGCCCACACUCAACCUCCAGCACCUUGAGGGCAGCUUCACUAUGGAUGAGCUUAAAACUGCAGUUUUUGAGAUGCACGCUGAAAAAGCUCCAGGUCCUGAUGGUUUUAUUGGUAGCUUCUUCAAAAAAUGUUGGAGCAUAACUAAAGAUGAUCUGUUGAUGGCCAUAAACCAGCUCCAUAGCCUUCGAGGAGAUAAUUGGCACCUUCUGAACACGGCACACAUCGUGCUCUUGCCGAAGAAGGAUGGCGCUGCACUCGCGUCCGAGUUCUGGCCAAUCAGUCUGAUGCACAGCAUUGGGAAGAUCACUUGUAAAAUUCUGGCAAAUCGUCUCGCCCCGGAGCUCCCGAAAAUGAUUUCUGCCAGCCAGAGUGCCUUCAUCAAGGGCCGUAGUAUCCAGGACAACUUCCUAUAUGUGCAGAAUGCAAUAAAGGAAGCUCACUCCAAAAGGCUUCCACUAGUCUUCCUAAAAUUGGAUAUUGCCAACGCGUUCGACUCGGUGCAUUGGGGAUAUUUGUUUGAUGUCAUGAGAGGAUUUGGGUUUGGCCAACGCUGGAUGGAUCUGAUGGCGAUCAUGCUGUCCUCCUCCUCCUCUCGUGUCAUGCUCAACGGCAGCCCCGGAGAUCCAUUUUACCACCACCAGGGAUUGAGGCAAGGCGAUCCACUCUCCCCCAUGUUGUUCAUACUCGCUAUGGAGCCGGUGCAGCGUAUGUUCUCGAAAGCCACAGAUAUUGGAAUUUUAUCGCCCAUAAGGCAAAAAUCAGUGGGGAUUAGGACCAGCCUAUAUGCCGACGACAUUCCCUGUUCAUAA